AUGCCUGGUAGUGGGAUCUACAUUUAUCCCAAAGAUAUACAAGCUUUAUAUAAGCCAAAAAAAAAACCAACAAGUGGAACUUUUCAGGAAGGGGAACCUAACUGGUGCAAAUGAAAAGACCAUUUUAAACACUAUUCCUGACGAUGCCGGGAUUCAGAGGCCAUUGUCAAGUUUUCGAUGAGGACCAAGAUUAGUUCCCAAGUCAGCC